GAAAUAAUAAAGGAAUCUUUUAUACUUACAAUCAAUGCGAAAUAAACAAGAAAUUCCAAGCUGUUGCAGAUAUCCUGAUUCGGCAUCGAAACAUUUCAAUUGAGAUUUUUAUAUUUUCUGUAACUUCUGAUCGAAGAAUUCAACUAAAAUUUUUUUCUCACAUUCGUACUUAAUUUAGGCUCGACGUGUUUCAGAGCAUCGGGGUAAGCCUUGCUAUUUCAAGGUCCAAGUUAUACGAACUAAAUGAUCGUCAUCAAAGAGAUCUGAGCUUAAUUAUGCUCAUACGAGCUCAGAAACCGACUUCGCUGUCAGCUGGAAAAUUCUACAGCUUAUCUUUACCAACUUUCACGAAUAUCGUACACGCGUCCAUGUCGUAUAUGACCGUGCUGAUGAGCAUUCAAAAAUGAUGAAAUGGCUGUAAAGGAAUCAGCUAUACACACCUGUAGUGAAAAAACAAUGUGAAUACCAAUAAAAAAAAGAAACAAAUUAA